rnacentral:lncRNA from 1 species
GAAAUGCAUUCUACUGGGUGUGCAUUCUUUACGUCAUGAAGGACACAAUCUAACAGAAUGCAAAAAUAGAAGCAAGUACAGGUAGAGCAUGGUGGCUCACGCCUACAAUCCCAGCACUUUGGGAAGCCGAGGUGGGAGGAUGGCUUGAAAGUUCGAGACCAGCCUGGGCAACAAAGUGAGAGUCCGUCUCUACACAAAAGCAAAAAGUUAGCCAGAUGUGAUGGCAUAUGCCUUUGGACCUGUGGUCCCAGCUACAUAAGAGACUGAGGCAGAAGGAUCACUUGAGCCCAGAAGUUUGAGACCAGCCUGUGCAACAGAGUGAGGGCCCAUCUCAAAAAAAAAAAAAAAGAAGGAAAGAAGGAGGGAAGGAAGGGAGAGAGAGAAAGAAAAAGAGAGAGAAAGAAAGAAAGAAAAUAAAGAAAGAAAAGAAAAGGAAAGAAAAGAAAAGAAAAGGUAAGUAUAGUGCCUGGUGUCCAGUGGAACCAGCGAGAUGAUGGGCUGGACUAGAACUUAUGACAGAAGUUCACAGGUGUGGAGGAUAAAUGGGAAAGACAGCUAUGAAAAGCCUUGAUGAGCAAGGAGAGUUCUUCUAAUUGAACCCAAGGAUACAGGACAGCCACCGUGGGUCCCUUGGCAGUGGCUUGGGUGAAGGCCUGGUGCUGAUGCAGAGAGACUAACUAGAGACAAGUACCUGCUUUGGCCUGAGACAUCUUUGACCAGAGGCACAGGAUGUACUUGCUUAACGGUAACCUAUACCAGGGUUAACCCUUGCCCAGCUGUUCCAGGUUAGGAGCCCUUUCUGCACUGACAGUCUCCUUCAAGAACAAAAGAAUAUUUUGAAUUGGAAAAGAUUAGCUUGCUCUUUCCUUCAUUUUCAGUUGAGGAAACUGAGGUCAGAAAGGGUGAGAGACUUGGCUGGACUAUGACGAGAUCACUGGGACUGGAACCUUGUUUCUGCACUUGAGGGCCAGCUGCCAGCAGCCUCCCUGCACCACUCCCAGGUGGUUUGCUCGUCCCAACGCACUGCAGUGCGGGGAAGGAGUGUGCUCUCCUUCAUAACCCAGCAGGGAUUAACGCAGGCUACUUAGCUGAAUUUAGAAAGUACUUGGUGAAUCAAUAUAAUGAAUCUCAGAAUUCACAUUUUCUCUCAGAUUUUACUAUUGAACAAAUGAAAAGAACAAAAAGUAAAAACAAAUGGACUGAUUUUUUAAAGAUCACACAAGUCAUCACCAUUCCCAGCUAACUGAUGGACUCCCUUGGAAGGUGACGGCUUCUCCCCCACCUGUCUAAGCACACAGAAAACACAUCAAGUCCUCCGUGUGGCUCAGCACCACCUCUUUUCCUCUCACACACCUGGUGGAGACUGUUGAAUGAAUAAACAGACAACCUCAUUUGCUACCUCCCAGCAAGAAUGGAGAGUGGCUGUUUCUACCUUCUACUGCACACAGAGGAAAAGGGGUCCUGAUCAGUGCUAUCAGUACGAUGGGAAAGGGCUGGGUUACAGAGCUUAGCGCACACCGAGGCCUGCACUGCCAAGGAGCUACAUGCAAUUGCAUCCAUCCAACUGAAUUCUCAUUUCCUGCGUGUGCCUGGCCCUGUGCUUCGUGCUGCGGAGGUGGUUUACAGUAAAAGCAUGUAGACUAAGUGAGGAGAGGUGCCAACACGUAUCAUGGGGAGGGCAGGAGGAGGUCCAGCCCCUGCCUCCCCAACCAGGAGCAGCUGCAGCUCACAGCACCAUUUGCCCUCAAGCUAAGCCACACCUAGUUCUUGAGCUCUGGCCAGAAUGACUUUAGCCUUGCCAAUCUAGCAGCUGGUCAGGCUGAAUCAAGCGUUUUUUGAUAGUUCAUGGAUGCAGCAUCAUCCACUGGGCCUCUAACACCUGGAGACCCACAGAAUUCCUGCCUUCCCUCAGCCAUGACUGGUGGAUUGACUUGGCCUGCGUGACUGGGAUCUGACUCACAUUCCUGACCCAGGCUGGGGCCCUGACACCCUGCCUUUCUCUUGUCUGCAUCUUACCUCAGGCACCUGAACCUAGUUUCAUACCCCUAGGCAGGUUCCUGCUCUAAAGGAGUGGUCGCCCAGAACCACCCUGACAAAAGCUUUCAUACUGUUUCAGCUACUGUUUGCUGCUGGAACUGCCUGCCUCUAUGCCCCAGCAGGGGGACAGAUUGCUGUGGGCCCUGAAGACUGGACCUUGGACCACUCGCACCCACUCAGGCCAAGGUCUGUCAACUUCUGGUACCAAAUUCUUCCUCAUCCCUACAAACCAGGGAUGCCGCCAAAAUACCAGAAAUCCUUAUUCCUGAGCCUGAGGUGGUAUUUGAAAUGGGUCUUGAAGGGUGGCCAGGAUUUGGACAAUAAAAGAGAAGACUUUCUCUGUCAGCACCAGGGUCCUUGAUGAGAGUCAUAGGGUGAUGGUGUAAUUCAUUCAAAUCUCUAUUAGGUAACCCUAACCUCUGUCUGUUUUCAUGGUGCUUUCCGCUGGACUCUCCAUCCCUCUGCUGUGUCUCCUGCCUGCUCCCCCUCGGGUGCUUCCCUGUAUUCCUUUUCUCCUGUACUUUUCCACUUGCACCCUACGUCAGUGUUUCCUGAGCUCACCUCUCCUUUUCCUACUCUCUGCUCUGAUACUGAACACGGGGUGGCGGGGGGGUAGUGGGGAGGGGUGGGGAAAGCUGCUUGCUGUGCCCCAGGUAAUUCUCUCAUCCUCACUGCCAGCUUUAAGGGGAAAUACUGGUCCCAGAAGACAAACCCUUCCUCCUGUCCGUUGGAAACAAGUAGGUUGAUUUUUCCAUCACAGGAGUGAAACAGCAAAGGCUGUUGGUUGUACCAGUGGAUCCAGCGCCUACUAAGAGCUUACUACUCAUUUCUAUCCAUUUAGUGUGGCAUACUCCAGAAGAUUCUCUUGCCCUUCCCUUGACCCAAAAUACCUCCUCUACUGGUGCCUGAAAGCCUACCAUUAACCUAGUCAUUCCUUUGUGUUAAUCAUUACUUUUUCCUGAUGGUCUUCCUUUGAACAUAAAAGCACUCCCAGAAGGGAAAAGAUUUGCUUCCUAAUGCCUCUAUGCAAACGAAGAAUGGAGGGGAAAGUGCCGAAGGUUUCAAACCUUCCCAAUGGGGUUGGAGUAUAAAUCUAAUUUGACUGGGUGGAGAAUUAACAAAAUACAUUGAAAUUAUAGAACUGCUGAUGUUCAUAUAGUCAUUUUUCCAUUUUUUAAUCUUCUUCAUUUAACUAAAACAUACAUACAAUAGUCUACAAAUCUUAAAUGUACAGCUUAAUACAUUUUACAUAUGUAUAUACUCAUGUAACUACCACCUAGAUUAAAUAUAUUUCCAGUGCCCCUGCAUCUCUUUCUGGUCAAUAUUACUCCAAAAAUAACCACUUUUCUGACUUCUGUUACCCUAGAAUAGUUUUGCCUAUUCUUGAGCUUCAUGUAAAUGGAGCCAUGUGGAGCCCAGACUUUUUGACUCAAUAUAAUAUUUUUGAGAUUCAUGCAUGUUGUUGCACAUAUCAGUCAUCUGUCCUUCUCUAUUAUUGCUUAGUAUUCCAUGGUAUGUAUUUACUACAAUGUCUUAAUCCAUUUUUCUGUUGAUAAACACUUGAGUUAUUUCCAGUUUUGCAAAAAGCUGUUUCCUAUUUUGAAUAAAUCUGUUGGAACAUUCUUGUACAAGGUUUUGUGAACAUAUGCACUAAUUUUUCUUGGACUAUACCUAGCGGUGGGAUUCUUGUUUCAUAGAGUAGACAUGUACAUAACUUUUUUAAAAACCACCAAAUAGAUUUUCAAAGUGAUUAUAUCCUUUUGCAUUCCCACCAGCAAAUGCGUGACAGUUGCAGUCACUCCACAUUGGGUCAGUCUUUUCAAUUUUAGCUAUUCUGGCAGAGAAAAUUUUGCAGUACUUUUGCUACGAGAGGUAAAUUCCUGAGCUGGGGCUCAUCGGCAGGAGAAUAGAGGCCUCCUAUCCAUGACAGAUGUGGAAGUAGAAUUCUGAUGAGUUUUUGUUUUGUUUCAUCUUAAUAACGAGAAACUGUGGGGCUAGAAAGCUAGAGAAAUAUGUUUUAUCUUGUAUCAGUACCAACUAAAAGAAAGCCAAUUCUGGGGGUGGUGGGAGGGUGUCACCAGUGGAGAAAAGGGCUAAUUUAGGCUAAUUCUAGGAUAAUACUCCCAGUAGGGUGUUAAGACAAUACUGCAGGCCCAUGUCUGAUGAUCCAGUCAGAAAGGGAGCUCAGACCAGGAUGCUUGGUUGCCAGUAAUAGAGACUAGCUUGAGCUAUUAGGUUGGUGCAAAAGUAAUUGUGGGUUUUGCCAUUAGAAGUAAUGCCAUUCCUUCUAAUGGCAAAACUCGAAAUUACUUUUGCUCCAACCUGAUAGCAUGAUCAAGUGGGAACGUAUGAAAGGAUAUUUGUGUACCCACAGAAUUGACAGAGUUGAGAGCCUGGCCUAGAGAUAAGCAGGAACUGAGGAGGAUCCAGAAGGCCAGGAGCAGGCAGCUCAGUCGAUCAGUGUGCUUCCCUGAUAACUGUUCCUGUCAUCCUUGUGUCACCUGUUCGAGGUUCAAAGAUCCAGAAGUGUUUAUCAGAUUUGGUUGAGCUUAGGCCGCAUGCCCACCCUCAGGGCUGGAGGAAGCAGAAUCUGGCCACUUCACAAUCUUCCAUGGUGGGGAGCAGGUGCCUGGAUUUAUACCCCAUUAAGGCUGCAUCCAUGGGAAUAAGUAAUUCCCCAAAAGAAAUGAGAUGCCAUCAGGAAGGAGGAAUGGAUGUUGAGUAGCCAAAGAAAUGCCACAUGUUCACUACAGGCCUGCCUUCAACAGCAUCAAAUUCACACUAUCGUGUUAAUAGCUUUGGGAGGAUGAAAGGAAACUGGCCUGGACCUAUAGGGUGAGCAAGGAAAGAGAAUUUGACAUCAACAAUAAAGGCCUAGCCAAUUUGCUCACCGCUUCUCAAAUGGACUUGAAUAAGAUGACACUGCGUGACACAAAAUUUCUUCUUUUUUUUAAAAUUUUUUUUAGAUGGAGUCUCACUCUGUCACGCCCAGGCUGGAGUGCAGUGGCACGAUCUCGGCUCCCUGCAACCUCUCUGCCUCCUGGGUUCAAGUGAUUCUCUUGCCUCAGCCUCCCGAGUAGCUGGGACUACAGGCACGUGCCACCACGCCCGGCUAAUUUUUGUAUCUUUUUAGCAGAGACGGGGUUUCACCAUGUUGGCCAGGAUGGUCUUAAUCUCCUGACCUUGUGACCCACCUGCUUCGGCCUCUCAAAGUGCUGGGAUUACAGGUGUGAGCCACCACACCUGGUCACACAAAAUUUCUCAAUUUGUCAUUUUUGGCAUAUCUGAAUCACUCUAGGAUCCCCUUGCAGUGUGGUACAACCUGUGUGAGGGGAUCCUGGGUGGAGGUGGUGGGAGGUGGAGACUGUGGAACGGGGUGAAGAUCACAGCCCAGGUAUGGCACUCUUUUUCAGGUGUGAGCUUCUAAAGGCCUAAGCAAACGUCUGAGACUUGAGGACAAAAAUUAUGGGUUUCAAAAUACAUAAAUCAAAAUACCCAUGAUCUCAGCACUUUGGGAGGCUGAGGCAGGAGGAUCACUUGGGGCCAGGAAUUCAAGACCAGCCCAGGCAACAUAGUGAAACCUCAUCUCUACAAAAAACUUUAAAAAUAGCCAAGGGUAGGCUGGGCGCGGUAGCUCACACCUGUAAUCCCAGCACUUUGGGAGGCCGAGGCUGGCAGAUCACCUGAGGUCAGGAGUUCAAGACCAGCCUGACGAACAUGGAGAAACCCCUGUCUCUACUAAAAAAAAAAAAAAAAAAAAAAAAAAAAAAUUAGCC